AGAAACUUUUAUUUAAAGAAACUAAAAGAUUCCAUUUUGUAUUUUUUAACAGUGAUACAAGAAUUAUCUUAAUUCCGCAUUUCAGUCGAUGAUCGAUAAAAUGAUCGAUAAAAUGAUCGAAAUUAAUGCAGCUGUAUUAAUUUAAUGUAGAACGAGAUUAAUAUUUUAUUUAAUUAUACGAGAAAAUGCAUUACGGUCGAAUUAACUUAAAGAAUAAGGAAUGAUCAAGUAAGUUGACCUAACAAAUUUGUAUCACUUGUAGAUCUUUUAUUAUUCUUGGAUUCCAACUUCGCAGUUUUUAUAUCUGUCCAAUUUUUAACUUUCGAUUUCAGCUUGCUAUCUUGUUUGGGGAAAUUUGUAGUAGGCAAAUUAAUCAAAGUUUCAUUCCCUUUGGUAUUGCUCAUCAAUUUAAUUAAUCCGUAAUCUAUUGUUAUGAUUGGUACAGGAGGAAUUGUUGUAAAAUCAAUUGUAAUAGGUUUUUUCAAUUCUUCUUAUUUUUUUUAUCUUUUGCACAGUUUUAUUACUAUCGUUUUCUCUAGUUUUCGCAGUGGAAACUUUUUCAAGUAAUCCAGGAAAACAAACAAUAACCAAGAACCAAUGUGCACUAUAAAUAUUAUAUUGUUAAAAUAAUAUAAUAUCUAUGUUACCAUAAGUCAAUAGAAUUUCUUGAAUAAAAUAAAUAAAAUUGAUUUACUUGUUUAUUACAAGUUACAAAUUUAAUAUAAGAUAAAUUACAAUACGAUAAGACUUCAAUAUUUUUUCUUUUUCUCUCAUUACGCAAUUAAACUCUUUUUUAUCUGAUGUCCCAAUAAUGAUUUUAACUUUUAAGUGGAGAUGUAUCAGGAAGCAUUCAGAAUCGGCCUUAUCUAGCCUUUUUCCUAUCCGAUAGCCAGAUAUUAUUAGUAUCCGGUAAUAUAUAUCCGGCUGAAAUUUUACAAAGUCACAUGGAUACAAAUUUCUAUUCUUUUCAACUAAACUUCUUGCAUAGUUUAUCUUUCCACUUUUUUUUAGGUUGAAAAGAUAAAGAAAAUUAUUAUCGCUAUUUUUCCCUUGUUUUCCUUUUCUCCUUUCUUUUUUAAAAAAGAAUAGAGAAAUUGUAAAAUUAGAGAAUAUCCACCCGGAUAAUUACUCUAUCGGAUAUUCGAUCGAAUAUCAGAUAUCUGGUGUCAUGUUCUUUCCAAAUAUCCAAUAUCCGAUAUCUGGCAUUUUAUAAUCUGAUACAUCCCUACCUUUAAGAUUCUCUGUUCUGAGUUUAAAUUAAUAUUAAACUUACAGAAUUACUUUUUGUUUAUAGGAAUUAUAACAAAAUCUUUUUCAAAUAUAUCGAUGUCCUUCGUCUGUAUUCUUGCGUGCCGCUUGACGACAAGUGUCAUUGACAUGGUAUUUUGAGCAUAUGAACAUAUAAACUAGUUUUAACGUUUGUAAAAAAACAAACUGAACACAUGCGUUCUAUGUUGAUCAAAUUCUGAUAAUACCUCUAAGGACAAAUACUUUAAAUAAAAAUCUAUAAUUACAUCGUUCAAGAAAUUGUCUUCUGGGAGACAUACGUAAAUAUUGAUGGCUAUUCCUCCUUUUGUAGGAAGUGCUGGAUAUAUAACUAUUCCAUAAAAAA